AUAUAUAUAAAUAUUGUAUAAUGAGCAAAGGGUAAAUUGGUCGUUUUGAAUUAAAUUAAUGUAUCUCAUCUUUUUUUUGUUCAUCUUUUUUAAAUUGAGAUUAUUUGUAAAUUUAAUUUCAAUUUAAUAUUUAUUUGUAUUUUAAGUCAUAUUAUAUGUAUAUCUGUCCUUACUUCUGGCUUUUUUUUCUAAUAUAGUCGCAUAUGUUUUUUUUACCUGUUUGUUUAAAAAGUCACAAGUACGCAUAGGAACUUGAAAUUCUAACUUUUUUUAGGACUUCAAUUUUUUUUCAAACACUUUAAUCACUUAUAAGUAUUGACUCACUUCUCACAAAUAGUCCACUUUUUUUAUUUUAAGAAGGAAGUCACUUUUCAUAAGAUUUACCCAAAUACACUCUAUAUUGAUGUAUAUAUGUACACAUAUCCUCACUAUUAUGAUAUUUAUUAAAAUAUAAAUAAAAAAAAAUAGUACACUAUAUAAAAUUAUAUAAUUAAAUUACCACUCACCUAAAAUUAUUGAAAAUUUAAUACGAAAAAUGAGAUUCUUGCCGAAUUAGAGUUUUGUCAUAUAGUUAUAUAUAGUAUUUAUAGUUAUUUUAAUACAUAUGUAUAUAAUUUUAUUAAAUAAUAACAAUUAAACAUUCUAAAAAUUGGCCGAGUUAACCUAUUAAUC
rnacentral:lncRNA from 1 species